CUGAAGCCAAUUAAGCUGACCGUGCUCCUUUCCUCAUGGGGGCCCAGUGUGCAAUGGCUGCAAACAGCAGGCUCCUUGAUAGUGUAUGCAGCCUGUUGCCUGUAUGGGUUGCUUUAAGGGACCUCGGGACACAGUC
rnacentral:snoRNA from 1 species